rnacentral:lncRNA from 1 species
GGCUAUUAGCAGGUUAACCUCUAUGGUUUAAAUUUCUGUCACUUCAGGUAGGAUUUAUAUAUGGGCAUAUUGAAACUUUGGAUCCGCUCAGAUCACAUGCAGCACAUUAACAAUCCUAUGUAAGAAGGUGAGCAAUGCUGUACAGCUAGGUCUUAAGCAAAGGACAAGCACUUCUGAGUGUAUUAGAGGUAAUAAAAAAAUUUAUCAUGAGACAAAAUGCACUAGGAGAAAAACCAAAAUGGCCAUUACACAAAGCUGAGGGUGCCAAUUGUCAACUGAAAGAGUUAGCAGAGUCUCUAGAUUGACACAAAGAAACCUGGGUAACAUCAUGCUCCUAUUCCAAUAUUUCAUGGGGCUUCCACUCAUCCUAACUUUAUUUAAAAGAUUUUUAAAAAGCAAAAAAAAGGAAAAGAGAUUACUGCAAAAAAACUUAGGAGUUUCACCAAAAGAAAACAAAGAGAAGCCAAAUUAUUAAGAUGGUGCACGACAUUCAUCAAAGACAGAAUACAGGCCCAUCAUGCAAGUUAGAGGGACCCAGAUCUGGUGGCAAAAAUAGACAUAAACCUGAGAGUACCUAAAUCAAAAUUUUGAAGAAUUCUAAAAAAAAUUUACUCUUUCUAAAGAGCUGUGCACUAUAAACCACAGCUUCUUAGUUAAAAAUUAAAGUAAACUUCUAAAGAUACAUAAUACAAGGUAGAUAUAAAUAAGUAGAAGAGACAAAUAUUUAGAGCUUGAUCAGAACGUAAGCACUUCUCCAAAUGCCAAGUUUAUAACACAAGUUUUCAUUUUUCAGGGAGAGAGAGAGGGGGUCCCACUAGAGAAUGUUGUACCCAAAAUGUGAAUAGCACCAAAAAUCAAUCAGUAUUGCCCCCCCAUAUAGCUAAAACGAGAAUCAAGCCUCUAACCUAAUCAGCAAGACUAGAAAUGGAGCUACAAAAUCAAUCUAACUGUAAACAUAGACACUUUAUGUAGGUUUCUCCUUAUGAACCAGUGCAUACAUAGUUUGGGAAAAUAAUUCCAAAUAUUUCAUGAGAAAAAACUAGAGCCUAUAAUUUGGGGGGCAAAAGUGCUAGUAGAAAGGAGCAACCCAUUCUCUCUGGCCCUCAAAGGAGGCAGAGGAGAGAUAGAGUUUGUGCAUCAAGAGUGCGACUCCAGGAUCAUAUGACCUAAUAAUGGAUGGUAGAUGGGCAUUAGACUUUAUCAGGAAGAAGCAUAUGCCCCACAAAGCAAUAUUUAAUCCCACUUAGA